rnacentral:rRNA from 1 species
GAUCAUGGCUCAGGAUGAACGCUAGCUACAGGCUUAACACAUGCAAGUCGAGGGGCAGCAUGGUCUUAGCUUGCUAAGACUGAUGGCGACCGGCGCACGGGUGAGUAACACGUAUCCAACCUGCCGUCUACUCUUGGACAGCCUUCUGAAAGGAAGAUUAAUACAAGAUGACAUCAUGAGUCCGCAUGUUCACAUGAUUAAAGAUCGUUCGAGAG